GUUUUAGUGGGUUUCAUUGCAAUAUGUGUAGGACGUGACUGAACCACAUGGUAACCUGUAGGGCUAUCCUAGUGGGUUGUAUGAUUCAUGUUUGAUUGGAUAUGCUGAUAACCACAUUUGAAAUGCACAGUGAAAUAACUACCUAUAAAAACUUACUGUGUGCAAAUACUCUAUUUUUUAUUGCACAUACAAAGCAUAAUUUACAACUUGGGGAACUUGGAGGAGACACCAUUAAACAGUGCUAAAUAACAGGCUAAAAGUUAUUGGAUGACGCCAUGGAGCCUUGACUGAUGAGCAAUGUCUGUCAUAUGCAUUACUCAAAUUACUGAAUGUUUCUUUCGAAAUGUGGCUAGUGAGUCAGUCAUUGUCAGCCAGCCAAAUGAAAAAAAAAGUUAAAUACAUGGACGGACGUCAUGAUAAAAGUGACGUCAGGCUUCCCUUAGCUUGCGCCAAGGCCUGAAGUUUUACAAGUAAAAUAACUAUGAUAAAUUUACAUUAUAACUAGAAGAGGUCACGUUAUUAGUCGAAAUAAAUAUUUGUUGAACCGGGUAAAACUGGUCAGACCAGCGAGCAAUUCUGAGAAAUAGAGCGACCUCGGGAUACUUCACCGAGCGCGAAGAGUGGAAGGGAGAGUUGCACCAUCACUUUCUACAAGUUUAACAUUGUUGUUUCACGACAACAUACAAGUAAAAAAUGUAUGAAUUUUCAAUACAUGUCGGGACUGCAAGCAACCCCUUCAACUGUAUGAUAAGAAUAUGGAUACUGAGUGCUUUCCCCUCAGCCACCACAGCAUCCGUCUCCCUGUCGCCCAUGCAGCCGAGUCGCACACCAGGAAGGAAAGGGAAGCGAACACGUCGUUUGCAUAGCUGGUUCCUGUUGGGAGAGGUUGAGCAAUCCCCUGGGCCAUUGCGUAAGCUGGCCCCCUUCACUUUCAGGUACGAGCUAGUGAAUCUGUCUGUGUGGCUGAAAGUCAAGCCUCUUCUAGGAAUGUGAUACGUGUCAGAGGAGCGGGAUUGAGGUAAUGCCAUGCAAAUACUGCCCCAGCUCCACUGGCUGCACAGAUACACAGACAGGCAGACAGACAGCACAGUACACAGGGGAGGUUGCGCAAGACCUGACACCUGCUGAACAGUGGCAGGCAGGCCCAAAUGAGGGGGUGAGAGAGAGGGGAAGAAAUAGAGAGACAGAGGGAGAGAGAGGAAGAGUGGAGAAGACAAAACAAGAGGCAGAUAUAAAGAAAGGUUGAGAGAAAAGAUUAAGGGAGGAAGAGUAAAGAAGAGGGGAAAGAUUCAAAGGGAAGACGAGCAUUGAUAAGUGAAAGAGAAACCAAGAGAUUGACAGGUAUUGAGUCAGACAAUGUGUGACUGAGAAGCAGCUAGGGACAUAAUAAAACAUUGAGUGAGAGAGUAGAUGGGCUAAGAAAUUGGCAAGGAGCAUGAUUGACAGGCAGAAAGGAGAGAGAGAGAGAGAAAGUAAAAAGAAACAGAAGCAGACAAGCAACAGGUUGAGAAAGAAGUAGAGGCACAGAAAGUGAGUAAAGGAAAGACUGACUGAGAGGGAGAGGAUGGGAAGCAAAGAAAGUGAGGAAAAAAGUGGAAGAGAGAGAGAGAAACAUUGUUUAGACCAGUACUACACACCAGGCACCUCUAUAAUUGUCAGUCUGAUCACUGUACCGGAGGUGAACUUUUUCACUCAGGAAUUAUUUUUCUUCACACCUCUGUAUUAGAGACCUUUUUCUGACCUCAGAGCGCCACGGUUAAGGCUUGUGUGUGUGUGUGUGUGUGUGUGUGUGUGUGUGUGUGUGUGUGUGUGUGUGUGUGUGUGUGUGUGUGUGUGUGUGUGUGUGUGUGUGUGUGUAAGCUCUUAGGGAUGACACAACUGCCCAGACAGGGCCGUGUACAUACUGUAGUGUACACCGUCAAAUGCAAUGCCAGGCAAUAACAGUGUCUCCAUUGCAACAGAUGGAGCAGAGCGGGACUGACUGCUAUCAUGCCGUAACGAGUUGCAAUCAGUGUGCAAUGAUGACCAACACUUAGGCAUCACCUCUCCACACACAUAGUCUGCUUGCGUGUUUCAAGCGGCACCACAGGAGUCAACAGCAAUGGAAAAUGCAGUUCUAUUCAUAGAUUGCAUGAGAGUUGCAGGAGGUGAGGAUCAUGAGUUUUCAGUGCCAGGUGCUGAAGAGGAAAAGAAUUGACUGGAAACGUUAUGCUAUUUUCUUUAUGGGAAAGAUGCUAAAAUGCACAACAUAUUCAUGAACUAUGUGUAAUAUAUUCAUACAUGCUACAUACUGUAAAUGCAUAUAGUAGUUAUGCAUCUAUCAGUAGGGAUGUCAUUGUCAUUGUUUGUUAACCUGUGGUUGUUGAAAUAACAUGACCUAAAAUGAGCAUUUAUGAAUGUUUAGUGCCUACAGACACAAUAAAAUACAUUGAGAUCUGUCAUCCUUAUAUUGACUCAAUUAACCAUGGAGAUCUAGUUUGUAGACUCCCAAGUUUAACAGGUUUGAUUGGGGUCCAACCGUACAGUAACACCCACAGGAAAAAACAACAACAACCCCCCAGAAAUUCACCCCAAGCGAAAGGGAAGUGCUUAUCUGGUGUUCACAGCCUCAUUGGUGACUCUUUGGUUUGGUUUCCACAACAAAAAUAAAAGAAAAAAAGGAAGUGCUGAGAGGUAAAUCUUUUUCUGUGAAGGGAGUGUCUGAUAACAUUGGUAUUCCCCUACAUACACACACGCACAAGCAACACACGCACGCACACGCUCUCUCUCUGACAGAGCUAAUUGUGGAAGGGCAAUGUCGUAGCAAGUUCUUCUUGCUGGAAAAAGUGACAGGCCCAGGAAAGGGGGCGUAGGUACGCUACGAACGGCUGAGAAGUGGUCAGAAAGCAUUACUCAUUACCAGAAACAGAAAGUCGUAUUGGGUGAACAGAUAGCCC
rnacentral:lncRNA from 8 species